GGUGUUAGAGCUGCGGCGAAGGAACGAGAACCAGAGCUUGUACUUCGAUUCGGUUCACGGUGGUUCCCGCAUAUAUGAAACUCAGACUCUGUAAAUUCUCAAUACAUGGCUCCAUUUUCCGAUCCACUCAGAGUGACGACGAGAGAGAAGAAGAGAGAAAGAGAGAGAAGUACUUUUGAGAUUUUGCCUUUUGUGUUUAAUCUUCUACCCAUCGCUCUUUUACCGAAUCAAUAAUCUUGGCUUCCACUUAUAAGGCUCUGGGUAAGAAAUUUGUGAGAAAAGCU
rnacentral:lncRNA from 1 species